GACGAACGCUGGCGGCGUGCCUAAUACAUGCAAGUCGAACGCAGUGGGGACGGGUGAGUAACACGUGGGUAACCUCCCAUCAGAGGGGAUAACACUUGGAAACAGGUGCUAAACCGAUAUUGAUGGCUGGACCCGCGGUGCAUUAGCUAGUUGGUGAGGUAACGGCUCACCAGGGCCAGGAUGCAUAGCCGACCGUAGAGGGGGAUCGGCCGACCUGGGACGUGGACACGGCCCAGACUCCUACGGGAGGCAGCAGUAGGGAAUCUUCGGCAAUGGACGAAAGUCUGACCGAGCAACGCCGCGUGAGUGAAGAAGGUUUUCGGAUCGUAAAACUCUGUUGUUAGAUAAGCGGUAUCUAACCAGAAAGCCACGGCUAACUACGUGCCAGCCGCCGCGGUAAUUC
rnacentral:rRNA from 1 species